CAAAAACCUCCUCACUACUCUUAGUCAACUCUGCCUUGCAGGAAAAACCUGAAGUCAACUUUAUACUGUAAGCUUCAUUCCUUUUAUAGCAGAGUUUUUGUAUGUGAGGAAAUCUUGCUUAUGCUGGGAGUGAAGGCAGUGCGUAUGACCACUUGAUAUGAGAGACACAUCCUGUUUUUAAAGACCCAAAUCUUGUUUGGCCUGAUGCUCAACCUUGUACAGUCCACCAAAUGAAGACCACAGCCAGGUGAUGGGAAUCUGUGGUAAUCACAGCCUGCAUCUCAAGAUCACCAUAGCAGAUCAUCUAUUAUCUUACUCUUAUCUGACCUGUUCAGCAUCAUUGCCACAAAAGAAACAUUGGAUGGAGUAUGCAUAAUGUUUCAGGACACGAAAUAAUAUGGACAUUUUUUGACUAGCUUCUAUAAACAUUAACACAAUCCUAUUGACUUGUAUUUUUACAGUUAGUAAUGUAUUUAACAUCCCAUUAAUUUGUAUUCUGUGUCGUCUUUUUGUGGGUGCUAAAAUGUAGAUCUGAAUGUAAUGUCAUAAUAUGGUAAUAUUCAGUAUUUAUUAUCAUUUGCAUGUUUUAAUGUGGCAUAUGUCAUGAUAUUAAUGAUUUUAUUUAAUUUGUGUCUAUUUAGAAUGAUUGUCUUGCCAAAUUUUAUUGUUUAUUUAAUAUUGAAGCAGUUAUUUAACAUCCAUAUCUAAUUUGAGUAGUGAUUUGUUAUAUUUGCAUUUUAAUUCAUGUAUUUAUUUUGAUGUAUAUUUUUAACGUAACAAUGUGAUUUUAAUACCCAUA